GCUAUGAGUAAAACGUGCGGGAUGAGAACCUGCAGCAGGGUCGACUGAAUCGCGCAGCGAUUCAGGCUGAUGCGUUAGCAUCACCCGAAGGGCGAGGCCCGAACGGGCCGAGGCAAUCCUGCACGACCCACCA
rnacentral:sRNA from 1 species